AGCAGUCUGUCAUCAAGUUGACAAGUAAACCAAGCAACAGUAUUGGCGGCCCCAAAGAACAAGCUAUGUACUCACUAAGACAUCCAUCUCCACAGGAGCACCACUUUUAGAUAAAACAUAGACCAAAUAUGCAUCAGCAAGUCACCAUGGCAACAAAAUGAAUCAACAACAAAUCAUCGAAACUAUGUAUUUGAUAAAUACAUCUGCAAUAAUCAUCACAAA